rnacentral:rRNA from 1 species
AACGAACGCUGGCGGCAUGCCUAACACAUGCAAGUCGAACGAGACCUUAGGGUCUAGUGGCGCACGGGUGCGUAACGCGUGGGAACCUGCCCUUAGGUUCGGAAUAACUCCCCGAAAGGGGUGCUAAUACCGGAUAAUGUCUUCGGACCAAAGAUUUAUCGCCUUUGGAUGGGCCCGCGUUGGAUUAGCUAGUUGGUAGGGUAAAAGCCUACCAAGGCGACGAUCCAUAGCUGGUCUGAGAGGAUGAUCAGCCACACUGGGACUGAGACACGGCCCAGACUCCUACGGGAGGCAGCAGUGGGGAAUAUUGGACAAUGGGCGAAAGCCUGAUCCAGCAAUGCCGCGUGAGUGAUGAAGGCCUUAGGGUUGUAAAGCUCUUUUACCCGGGAUGAUAAUGACAGUACCGGGAGAAUAAGCUCCGGCUAACUCCGUG